AGACGCGAGCCACCACGCCCAGCCAAGGAUCUGAACGUCUGUGACCACUCUUUGGAGCUGACACAGUGAAGAACAUGGAAUAAGAACCAGGCCAAAGAUCUGGAAGGAGAACUCACCCAGUCUGCCAGAUGAAGGAGGAAUAGAAAGAAGGUUCCAGGACCUUGAAGUCCAUGGAACUCCCACGACUGCCUGAUCUCUGGAGCUUGUCAUUUGGCCAACAACAGGGAUAUGGGGACAGAAGGCAGGAGCCUGGCUCACUUGGGCAGUCAGCUUCUGCCUCUUUCUCUGCUAUCUCCAGGUACCAAGAAUGUCCUACAGUUCCCCCAAGAUGAACCCCCAAUUACCUUUCAGGUCACUGUUUCCCCAGAUCUUUGUCAAAUUCCUGACUCAGAGCUCCUCCCACUGGCUUCUGACUCUCAGUUUAUUCUUAGCGUUAACCAUUUCUGUUCUCCUCCUCCCUUUCUACGAGUGCUGAGACUAGAGCACGAGGUAACUGCUCAGUGUUGGUCAUCACUGUCCCUGUUAUUAAAUGUAACUUCAU